UUUUUGAAGGUCUGCCGAUUUGUACGUGGUGUUGUUUGCCUUGCAACACCAUUUAGGCGGGAAGCCUGUUGAUCCAUGUUCGUACCUUGGUUGUGCAAGCUGCGGCCAAUGACCAAGCGUGCUUUGGACAUGGUGAUGCGGGUAUCGAGACAAGGCAUGUCGGUUUUUGAAGGUCUGCCGAUUUGUACGUGGUGUUGUCUGCCUUGCAACACCAUUUAGGCGGGAAGCCUGUUGAUCCAUGUUCGUACCUUGGUUGUGCAAGCUGCGGCCAAUGACCAAGCGUGCUUUGGACAUGGUGAUGCGGGUAUCGAGACAAGGCAUGUCGGUUUUUGAAGGUCUGCCGAUUUGUACGUGGUGUUGUCUGCCUUGCAACACCAUUUAGGCGGGAAGCCUGUUGAUCCAUGUUCGUACCUUGGUUGUGCAAGCUGCGGCCAAUGACCAAGCGUGCUUUGGACAUGGUGAUGCGGGUAUCGAGACAAGGCAUGUCGGUUUAAUCGUUGCUUUCGCAUCGUUCGGUGCAUUCUGGGGGCUGUUUUGGCUUUUGGUUGCUUGCUUGGCCUUUGUGCUUGGCGUGUGGCUACUAGUUGGGCGGUCUUCGGGAAUGUCGAUCGUAAAGGUGCAUGAGUGGUGUUUGGUUUGUUACGGGUGGUUGGAUGUCUGCUUGCGCAGCAACUUCCUCGCGUGCAUACCUCUUCAGUUGUGUGGCAAGGCUUGUUUCGUCUUGAGCAUCUUUGUGGGUUUCCUGUGUUGCAUACCUAACCGAUGGCAUUGUGUGGUUCGAUAGACGUCCCUUUUCGUCAUGUGUCGCUCGUGCGACGUGUGAUGAACCUCGAAGCGGUCUCCGUGAUCCACCUUGUCGGUGCCGUUGCAUCGACGAUGUGGCCCAUGAAGCAUUGCUUGGUCUCUUGUGUACGGAACCUGAUUUGGGCAUGGGUCUUGCUUGAUCCUACAUUUGCCCUUGUUAAGCGUUCUCGCUUCUCUAAAA
rnacentral:misc_RNA from 1 species